rnacentral:lncRNA from 1 species
UACUCGAUAGGAUUCAAAUAUCAAUCCCCAUGGGUUUGACACUCUUACUUUAAAAAUAUAUUACAAAACUUUACACCGCACACUUGUAGUGUAAAAUCACGUUGCAUAAAUCGCAUGGCAAUUAGCAGAAGGCAUCAAAAUUGAGGAGCAUUCAACUAAAUUAGCAGAUCUCCUACAUACAUCACACGUGGACCAUGUGAAGUGAAUAAAAAUAAGCUCAACCAUUACGAAGAAUGGAUGUUGUUCCAUCUCCUAUCGCAUCAUUUUGAGCUGGACUUGGCUCAAUCAUUGACUGAAUCUCCAAAAGCAUACAUGUUAAAGAGCAAUAAAAAAAUAACAUUCCAGUGUUAGAAUUAGACAGAAAGAACAAUAUGAAUCAAUUGCAAGUAGAGGUUAAUAGUAUGUAAACCACUUAAAAUAUAUGUAUAUUUAUUUGAAACUUGCAACUCUGAUUGACUUAUAAUAAUAACCAUGGACAACUCUACUAAUAUAUACACAUCUAUUGAGGGCUUGAGAAAAGGUUUAUGAUGUGACUAAAGGCAUCCGUUUUGAAGAUCCUAAACAACACGUAUGAUUUGUUUCUAAAAUCGUUGAUUUUGAUACAGGUUGAAUGAGUAUGGAAAUGUGAUUCUUAAUGGUCAAGUUUUGAACAUUAGGUCAAUAACUGGCAUAUAGAACUACUCUUUAGAUUUACUUCUAGCAUAUAGAACUUAAUCUGCGAAUUUGUGGUGAAAUAUUUGCUAGGUUAGGAAUUCUAGGAGUGUUUCCCAUAACAUUCUCAAAAAUAGUAUGGAGUAAGAGAAACUUUACAUCUACUUCCAUGCCUAUCAACAGAUGUUCAACAUUUAAUCCUUCAGAAGCUUUAAAAAUGCGAGAGGAACCUACAACCUGAAGAGCUCAGUUAAAAUGUUCAUAGUCUCUUCUUCGCAUUUUGAGAAUUCAACCCUCUAGAUCCCAAAAAAGGGACGGGUGAUGACAUAUUAUUCAUGUCAACCUUAUCAUCAUUAAUUUCAAGAAUCAAAAAUUUCUGAAGCAAGACAAAUUUGAAAGAUGGAGAAUACGAUUUCUCUUUGAAACAACUACGAAUUAAAGCAAAAGAUAUAGAUCUAACACCAUGAAUAUCUCUACAGAACAAACCCAUGUAUAAAAUUAAAAGCUAAUAUCAUCACAACUGCAUAAGACAUUUCAAUCAAGUCAAUCAAAACCAAAAUCCAAUAACAAAUGAGUUUUUCUUUCAUUAAAUCACAAGAUUUCUUAGAAAAAUUAGAGCUUUUUAGUCAUUAGAGUUGUACCUUGAGCUGGGAUAGGAGUUCAUUAAGGAAACGAGGGGUCGCAGUUCCGGUUUGAGUUGGAGGUAAAGAAGGCGGCGUUGAGUCUAGCAGAGACGGAGGAGAAAACUGAGAAAUGAAACAAGAUUUUCCAUUUUAUUAUUUAGAGGAAAAAAAAUGAAAAAAAAAAAUUACUCCGUGCGCGCACGGAGCUUUAGCUCCAAAAU